AGAUUUCUUCCGCCCAUUCCGAUGAGUUUUUCUCAUCUCUUCCCAGAUAUGAGAUUUUCUUGUCUCUUUCUAGAUUUUCUCGUCUCACCCAUGUGUAUGCACUGACGGCAACUACUCCCCCAUAGAACUAGACUGCGAAGAUGGUGAUGUCCGAUUCCGGUGACAAUGAAAACUUGUCUUUACCAACUUCGGAAAACCCCCUAAGUGAGCGGCAGACCAUUUUUGGUGGUUCAAAUCUUGUUUCGUAAACUCAUAAUAUGCUUGAAUUGGAUUUUCGAACAUAGCUUUACACUGCAAUUUAGACAUUCGAAAUAGAAAAAGAAGAAAAU
rnacentral:lncRNA from 1 species